rnacentral:rRNA from 1 species
GUAACACGUAGUCAACCUGCCCUCGGGUCGAGAAUAAUCUCGGGAAACUGAGGCUAAUGAGCGAUAGGUCAAGAUUCCUGGAAUGGGUUUUGGUCUAAACGGCGUGACAGCAUCUUGUCGUGUCCGCCCGAGGAUGGGACUGCGGCCGAUCAGGCUGUUGGUGGGGUAAAGGCCCACCAAACCAGUAACCGGUACGGGCUUUGAGAGAAGGAGCCCGGAGAUGGACACUGAGACAAGGGUCCAGGUCCUACGGGGCGCAGCAGGCGCGAAACCUUCGCAAUGCGCGCAAGCGCGACGAGGUUAUUCCGAGUGAUUUCCGCUGAGGAAAUCUUUUCUUAGAUCUAAAAAGUCUGGGGAAUAAGGGGAGGGCAAGUCUGGUGUCAGCCGCCGCGGUAAUACCAGCUCCUCGAGUGGUCAGGGCGUUUAUUGGGCCUAAAGCAUCCGUAGCCUGCUCGGUAGGUCUCCUGUUAAAUCCAACGGCUCAACCGUUGGUCUGCAGGAGAUACCGCUGGGCU